UUGUCAUGAGUGUAAACUAGAUCAUUUAAACCAAAAACAUGUUUUCGUACCAGGCUGUAAACAUGUUUAUUUCUGCUGUGAAAUUGCUAUUUUUAACAUGAGUCGAUGAGGAUUUGCUCGCUUCUGACAUCAGCCCCCAGUGGAUGAGGGUGGAACUGCAAUUUGGGGUUCUUCCGGGUUGAGACCAAUUUCUGAGACGCAUUCUGGGGGCUUGGGUAAAACCAGGGGUCCGUAACAUUGAUGUACUAUAUUUGUCCACCAACAGUCCACCUAGCCAGCUAACAUUAGCUACAUUAGCUAACAUUUAGCUUCACUGUUAGGGGAACAGCUGCUGCUGUUCCCCUAACAGUGAAGCUAAAUGAAACUGUAUUAAUCAUUUAUUCCUAAACACUGACUUGUAUUACAGCUGAAACAAGAAUGCAGCUGUAGAAACCAAACAAAUCUUCCUGGUAUCAUGGUCAGAUGUCUCAGAGCCUCCUCUCUGACUGGAGUUAGCCAACAAGCUGCCAUGCUAACAUACUGAAGAGACGUUUUCUGAUUCCAGCCUUUGAAGGGUUUUGGUUCAUUAUAAUUAGAAAUGCGGUUUUAGGUUAAAGAAAUAUUCUAAAAAACAUUUAAGGAAGAAAUAAACAGAAGAGCAGGAAUAACACAAGGGGAAUGCAGAAAAUAGCAUUGACCUCUUUUGUACAGUGUUGUGUAGAUGCUAAUCUGCAAAUUUCGUGUUUUUGUUUUGUAGCUUUCCCACAAAAGAUGUGAGAAAGAAGUGUGAGGCUUCCUGCAGCUGAUCUAUUCUGAUCAGAACUGGGCUGUGUCAGACUGGGAGACUCAGAGAUAGAGUUUAUUCUUCUGCUUCCUGGUUCUCCUUCAGAGAACAAGUGAUCAUGAAGCCAGCAUCCAUACAUGUGCAUAUCCUUUUAUCAGUCACAAGGCAGAGUGCAAUACUUUUCCCCACAUACCUCGUCUUGAUGUCAUUUCUCACAAAUUCAUUUAUUUCAAUCAAUAGUAAGGAUCGAAUCUGGGUGUCUCAGAGUUUUCAAAGCAUUAGGGGGCCUUUGAUGUCAGCUGAGAAUCACAGGUGUGUACUAUAAACACUAAUAUAUAAUAAACAUGAUCUGCUUGUUUGUUUUAACCAGAGAAGUGCAGAACUACAUCCAGAAGAGCUGAAAAGCCAGUCUGUGACCUCCCAGGAUGCCCAGAGACUAACCUCAGCCUGGUGAUGAGAGGGAGGCUCCCAGCUGCGUCAGGUUAGCAAUCAACGGCACUGGCUUCUUAAGGAGUUGGAGAACACACCUCGACACGGGAUGAUUACUACUACCCGGAUUUUUGGAGAGCCUCUGUUGAAGGAACUACUCUGGAUUCUCUAAACUCAUCAGGAUACUCACCGCCUCUACAUAACCUUCUGGACGCAGCUCCCCAGUGUUCUCCAUCUCACCAGUCGCUCCACUCACCUGCUUCCCCCACACUCCCUCUCCUGGAUACACUCACCUCGACUCACCCAACUCUCGACCUGCCCCUCCCCAUUCCUCCUCAGCUCUUUUGCCCAACGCUGCGUACCGAUUUUUCUCCAUCCACUGGAAGUUCCAGUGCACUUUUUGUUCCCGUUUUAAAAUAAACUCCUUAUUUUGAUUAAAUUACCUGUGAGUGUGUUGAUUCUGCGUGUCCUGGGUUAAACUUCUUCCCCAGACCAUGACAAUCAGUCUGGUGGAAACAUUUAAAGUUAUAUUACUUAUAUAUUCUAUAGGAUUAUAAUAUCAAGUAAUUAAUAUUUUCAUUUCACAAAUUGGUUCACAUUUUGUUAUUGACUAACACUUUUGUUUGAUUAGCUUAUUAAAAGAUUUAUUAAAAAGAGAGAGUCCUUUGUCUUCAUUCUUCUCUUGGGCUGGAAAGGAAAACGGUUUUGAAGCAGGUGCAUGAGACAUUGAGCAAUAUCUCAUGCAGAUUAGUUCUUGCUGAGGAGAGGGGGAAAAUGACUUUUAGAUGGAAAACAGUCAUUUCAUUCCGUUACAUAGCCAACAUGUGUGUAGCCUAUGUGUGUGCAUGUCGUGGUUGAAGAAAAGUAAUCUUGUAUAAAAAAAACGUAGCCUACACCAUCUGUAAGUAACCAGAAUGGUGAUGUUUGCUCAUGUAGCAUCCACAAAUGGUCCGUUUGUCAUGUACAGUUUGACCUCUUCAUAUGGAGACAGGAGUCUACAUUUGUUGCCUUUAAUCUGCCGGAUCCUGCCAUUCCAUCAGCUGGGGUCCGGGCCUCUGCAGCUCUGAACACACGAUAACUUAUUGUCAACAAACUGUUCCUGUUUCAAGGCCUUAAGCUUCCGUUAUCGCUUCUACAAGAUUCCUCCUGCCUCUGAAUAAAGUGAGCAUUUUCAGCUCAUAUGAGUUAAUUAAUCAUGAAAUGAAAUGAACAAUAUAGUUAAAUUAAAUGUGUUGAUUAAUCUGUGCCUAAGUUAAUAAGGCUGAAAUGAAUUUUAAUAUUACAAUGAAACAUUUUGAUGUAAUGAUUUGUAAUGUUUGGUUUAACAAGUGAAUCAUUAUCUACACUCAUACACAAUGUUCAUAAGAUAACGUUAAAGUAAUUUCUUGCACAUAGAGAUGUUCUUACCCAAAAAUUAGAGAACCUUCUGUCUGAAAGAAGGCGUGAUGUUCAGAGGUUUGUUUGUUAACACCUCUUAACAUGGCACAUCCCUACUGGCCAAGUAAAUCAUAAUAUGAGAACAUUAAAACAGGAUCACUUACGGAGUGAUUCUGCAUUCUGUUAGUUUGAGCAGAACUCCGGACUGGCCACCGGGGGAAAACUCUCUAACUACCGCGUCUCUUGACAAGCUGUCAACCCUGCUACAAGCUACAGCUGACACAGCAAAAUGGUUCCUUCAGCUAUUCAGAAACAGCUGUUCUAGACGCAAACAAUUUAAUCUAUCUGUUGAGACCCGGGAGACAUCCUAGGUCGUGUCGAGGUUUUCCUACAAGCCACGUGCAUGUGGGGUCACCGCCUCCUCGACAUCUCAAAUCCAAACGGGGUCUCCAGGAACGGGUACGUAGGCAUGACAUAAAUUGCAUCUGAUGCCGUUUUGAUAAGAACCAACUCCAUAGUUUAAUGCAGACCAAAUUCUUUUCACACCCAGAACUCAGUUUCUUCUAGAUACAAGGUUCUGAUAAACACACACCAUUAAAUCACCAUGCAUCACAUUCCAUCCACUUACAUUCAUCCAUCACAGUCGUCUUAUUUAACUUGUCUCGUUUUAAUUUGUUUAGAAAAUACAUUUCUUACCUUUUAUAAACCUGACUCUGUCUGAAUUGAUAGGAAGUGUGUUUGAUCACUGAAAAAGCAAACAAUCCUAAUUCUUCUGAUUAAACAUUCAAAGACUGAUGAGGUUGAAAUGAAGGCUGCAUGGUGGCGCAGUGGUUAGCACUGAUGCUUUGCAGCGCGAAGGUUGCAUGUUCGAAAUUCGGCUCGGCUGCGGCCUUUCUGCGUGGAGUUGCGUGUUCUCCCCAUGCAUGCAUGGGUUUCCUACAGGUACUCCGGUUUCCCCCACAGAUCACAACAUGCCCUAUAGGUUAUACAUUGUAAGUCGCUUUGGAUAAAAGUGUCUAUCAAAUAAAUAAAUAGAAACAUCCUAUUUUUAUUUAGAAUAUCACAGCUUAUUGGUCAGAAGUAGAGGUAAUAUAUUUAGCUUAAAAGCAACUAUAUUAACCCCCAAUUUCUGACAGUCACCUUACAGCUGUGAUACAAGCGAGACGAUGAGACUGUGGUGUUGGCCUCUGUGGUUAUGCCUUCAAGCAGGAAAACGGUGGAAAAAUGUGCCCGUUUUCCACCUUUAUUCCCCUGGUGAUCACAUGUAUCACCCCACCACACAGCAACAAUUUACAAGAGUUGUGUAAUAUAACUGAUCAAAUGAGUAAUAGACAAAUUUAAGCUGCAAGAAUGAGACUGAGCGUGCUGUUUACAGUAGUAACAAGCAACAAGUCAUGUCUUGUAGGUCACCAGUGGGGCAGCCACUAUAGCCCUAGCCCUAUAGUAUAUGCACUAUCUUGGACCAGAUACAUGACAAGAUACCACAGAACAGCGCUACGACCUCUGUUGUCCUGGUGGGGAAGUGCUUUGCAGUGAGCAGUGAUGCUCAUAAACGUUUAGAUGGUCUGUUGUGCUGUUGGGUUAAAAAGCAGGAAUAUGACCUGUUAUUAGGAACCAGGGAGAGACAAUAAUCCUGACACACUGACUUUAUAACAUUCGUCUUAAACUUGUUCGGAUAAAACCUGUUAAAAACCGUCAUUUCUGUCGUUUUUCUGCCUGAAAGCAUGACUUUUUCAGGAAGCACACGGAUAAGAAAUUUAUUAAAACACCACAUGGUUCCCGAGCGCGGCUGUGCCUGCAGCUCAGCGCUCCCCCAGGGGAUAGGUCAACUGCGGAGAACAAAUUUCAUACACCAGUGUGUGUGAUAAUCAUGGCCGUUUCUUCCUAUGUGCAACCUAUACUAUUGCAUAGGGCCCCCAAACCACUAGGGGCCCCCAAGUCACUAGGGGCCCCCAAAGCUGCUGUGGUUGUGUUGAUGGUAACACAAACUGGCCUUCAUACUUUACCGUAACCAUAGGCGUCGCACCCGUGGGGGAUGUGGGGGAUUCAACACCCACACUUUUCCAGCCCGUUUUGCUAAUCCCCACACCCGUCUGGUUUUUCUACGUCGCACUCACUCUGUUUGCCUCAUCUCCCCCCUCCCCCCCCUUUUGUUUCUCCUUGAAACCCGACAGCCGAUGUUGGGUUUCAAGGAGAAACAGGAGAGGGAGGGAAGAGCUCGACUGAAUUCAUAAUUUUACAUCUUGACAUUAGCUGUACAAACUCUCUGUUUGAUAAAGUGAAGAAUAACAAUUUGCAGAGGUUUAUAACUGGCGCGGCGCCAGGUUUUCAUUUUUGGGUGGGCCACGGUAAUUUUGGACGGACCUUAAUAAGCAGUGACUUAAGUGAAGCAGGCAGGUCGCGCUAGAAAAUUCCAUUUAAAAAGACAUCAUAAAUCUUUUCCCCCAUCAUUUUUAUUUCUAAAAUAUGAAGUAAAAACUCCCAAUUUAAUUUUCAUAAAUUUUUCAUUUAUAGGCACCAGAAUGCAUCACCUGCACUUCUAAUAUUUACCUCUCAACGUAGGACUCUUUCAUAAGGGUACAUGCACACCAGUAGUUUUUACGGUUUUUCAUGGGGAAAAAUCUCUGACAUUUUUUAUUUAAAAAAAAAUCCGUCUUCCAGUAAAAGCAAAGCAUCCAGCCCACCUCUCCAAAUGCGUAAAAUGUGCAUCACAGCCGCUAGUUAGGUGCGCCGCGCGCACCAUCAGCUACGUCAGCCCAGACAAGAGCAGAGCAAAUAGAGAAAGAAUAGAGGAUAAUUCUGUCUGGAUGUGGAUGGAGAUUACAUUUUACAGCAGCCUGAUCAUCAUUUAAAUACGUAAACCAUCACCUGUCUUAUAGUCCACGCUAUCAGCAUUAUUUUAAUUGGUGUGUGAGUGUGUGUGUGUGUGUGUUUUCCACUUCAAACUGGUCUAACCAACCAGACCAGCGUGUCCAGUAACAUAUUUAUGUUACAAUUAAACAGUUUCACUUCAUGUAGGAACCUUUCACCUGCCGUGGCCCGACCGCUUCUGCUCCACAUAAACUUUGUGCGUGAUCAAAUGUCUCUACAGGUGCUUUCUGAGCUGAAGAGGCUAUUCUGCCUCAGACUGGAUGCGUCAUGCGUCUCCAUAUUAGAGACGGGAACAAGCGCUAUUCAGCCAAAGUUUCAUAAUCAGCGAACAUUUUUCCAAGUGACACAUCCCUCAGAGAGACCGGGUUGUUUCAGUGGGAGGAAAUCUUACCGCAUGUGCUGUGGUUCUGCACUGCGCUGCGAACCCCUCUACAGAUCUUCAGCUCACUGUCCACCGUGUGCGCUCCGGUCCGCACUGAGCACAGUGUCCAGAAUAAAGCUCUGAUGUUCUGAUGCUUGCAAUUUGGGACAAUUUAUGGUGUGUUUAUAGAUCAUCAAUUACAAUUUGUCCAAAUAGGGGGGCCCAGAACAUAAUCUUGCAUAGGCCCCCCACAAUGCUAGAAAUGGCCCUGGUGAUAACUAACAGGACUUUAACUUGUUUUAAUGUUACAGAUAUAUUUAAAAGUAACAACGUCAUUGCUCGUAGUAGCAUCAUUGAGAGGCUGGGAGCUGCUCGUUCCCAUGGCAGGGAAGUACUGAGCCGAGCUGAGUGAAGUUGGCUUCCAAUCCACAUCAGAAACAAAUAGAGUGGCUAGUGCGACGUUAGUGCAGGAUUCCUGAUGUGGUUGAGUGGCCAACUUCACGUAGCUGCUGAGCAGAAUAUGGCUGCAACUGCGUCUGGGACACCGACAGCAGCUGCAGUGCUGUUACUCGUAGUUUUUGUGAGACAGGCAGAAAUUAGCAUUUAGAGCAUAGUUCUAGUCUAGUCUUGGCUCGUUGCCGAAAACUCGUCAUGUUUCACUCACCAAAGAGCUAUUUUAGCUCAUCAGCGUCUCGUCUGUUAUGAUAAAAAAAAAAGGGACGAAAUCUAUUGUUCAUCGUUAACAAAAACAACACUGGGAGGAACAUGAAUGCCGCUGACCAUCUUUAUUAGUCAUCUCAGUUAAAAAAGACAGUGGUGCAAUGACGUACACCUUCUGGUACAUACUGCUGUAAGGGCCCCGAGCCGCUACAGCCUCACAAAAUGUUCAGCUGGUAUUUUCCAUCAUAUGACUGCUGCAGAAGGUGCUGUAUGGGUCAUGAUGUCAAUAAUCACUCAAGGACACAACCGCUGGCCUUAUUUAGCUGAGGUUUGAACUAGCAACCUACUGAUAACAGGAUAGACUUUUGACCCCUGAGCCACAGUCAGCAACAGUCAGAACAAAGAGGAAAAUCACACCAAAAAGAUCUAAAUGUUGGGAGCAGCAAUUGCAGAAAGCCACCAUCAGCUCUCCACUGCUGAACCUGGAAAUGGAGUUUAGGAUUCAGUUACUGAAUUGCCCAAACAACAUCAGUGAGAUGACUGAAGAGUGUGAAGCGCUGCAGCAGAAGAUCAAUGAAGCUCAGCUGGAGUCUUCACUGCAAAUACAUUUUUCUGUACAAUGGAAGACAACAGUCACUGCUACAGCGAGUGGGUUUAACCCUUUAGCAAACAGGUCAACAGCUCGCUCUACCGAGAAUCAUGCAUGAAGAACAACUGGAACAAUAGAAUACUCCUCAGUGGUGUAAUCCUGGAAUAAUAGCAGCAAAUAGAUUCAGAGCCAAAAUAAAGAAUAGAAGGACGAAACGAUAAACAGUGAAUAAAAAAAUGUGAGGAAAUAUACUAUUUUAAAGAUACAGUGUAAUAACUAGCAUAUAUUUUACAGGGAGAGAGGAAUGGAGAAAGUAUGAAAAUAAGAAUAAAAAAUUAGUACAUUUAAAACAUUCCAGAAAAUAUAUGGAGGGUAUAACUAUAUAUAAAACAGCCACGUCUGGAAUUCUGCAGGUUGGUGAAGUCAGUCUACAUGAGCAAUAGUAAAACGUCUUAAUUACUAUGACUACUCAUGGGAACAUUGCAAAUAUGAUGUCACCACAUAAUCUCCUCUCCGCUAGCGUAGCUGUUACUUACCACAUGGCCAGGUUUGUGGUGGCUCUUUCCUGCUGGACAAAGGAUUUGAAGUUUGCUGAACUAACAGCCAUUUUCCCUCUCUUUGUCUCCGUGUGUGGUUUAUAGUCCUGGACUUAGUUUUACACAAAUACUUAAAUACCUUAAAUGUCAAGCUAAUCUUUCUUUUCUUACUCAGUCUUUUAUCCCUAAACACCUUUUCUAAAUUCAACAUGAACAGAUGAACUCAGUAACUUCUAUAAUUCUAAAACUAAAAUGUUGCUAAAUCACACCGUCGGGUAUUGCAUCUAAAAGUCUCCCGGACGCGGUGUGGAUGAACCCGCUGUAAGGAACCUUCCAACUAGUAGUAAUUUCAAUGACAAAUCAACUGUGGUUCUGCCUAAUUCACCUGUUCUAUUCACAAAAACACUUGUGUGGAGGCCAAAGCACCGCCGUUCAGCUCUCAACAGCAGCUUGGUGGUACACACUCGCUUUAACAGUAACAAUGUGGCAGAAAUGCUGAACUCAAAACAACAGAUGGUUGUUACAUUUACAGAAUAGCCUGUUUAGAUCCUUAAUCUGUUUAAAUUUCCUGAAGCUGGCCUCAGACCAGCUGUGUAGGUUGUGCGUGUUCAAAAUUCACAUCAACUCAAUAAUCUACACCAGGUGUGUGUUAUUGUCUUGUUUUAUUUAGUCAGGGGUUUCUUACAGAAAACACUGCGAGCUUAUGUUCAUUAACAAAGGUAAGAAACGCCUGCAGGCUCAACACAGUGGUAAGUGGUGGGUACACCUGCUGCACACACACACACAUACACACACAAACACACACACACACACACACACACUUAAUAAACCCAGCAUUGACCUGGCCUGAUUAAAUUGGAACAGAUCACUACACGUUUUGCUCUUCCUCAUCACUGUAACAGAAAACCCAGAUACUCACCUUCCCUGAUGAACGAUAUCAGUUAGAAACGGCAGGGAAUUGAAAAUAAUGAAUGUUGUUAAUAAACAUUUAAACAUAACCGGGUGAUUUUACAUGUGAAAAUGUGAACUUCUUCAGCAGCAUCAAGGCAACAGCAAAAUUCCCACAGCUUUUUUUAAACUUUGACAAUAAAAUAUUUCAACAUACACACUGAGACUUUUAAAACAUCUGAAGCUCAUAAACAUAGCUUACCUAAUGACUGCACCCCUUUUUACCCACCUGCAGCACCACGUUUGCUACAACAAUGUUACAGGUAGGCUGUUACAUCAGUAACAGCAACCCAAUGUGUGUGUAAGCUGGCCAUAAAUCUCUCUCCUGCUUUUCUGUGCUGGAAGCUACAAGGUCUCCUCCAGAAGACAAGACUUUACCCUUAAUAAAAAUCAAGGAUUCUGUCUAAUAAAAAGGAUUUCUUUCAUUCUACUGUAACGUUGAGAGCAGGGGGAGGUUAGGACCCAAGAUGCAGAACACCAGAUGGCAUGAGGCAGGAGCGAUUGUAAAAUGUAAAUCCUUAAUUUAUGACAAUAAUCCAAAAUCCAAAAGGGUAGGAAGCCAAGCCUAUUUUCAAAACCCUGAAAAAACCAAAAGCUCACUUUCUGAGCAAAAACCUAGAGACCUACUGAGGAGACAAAACAACGCUGACAAACGACAAUGGACCGACAAAUACUAAGACACAGACAGGGUUAUAUACACAGGCCGGGGCUGGGUGAUUAGGAGACGAGGAGCAGGUGCGUGGGGAACUGGGCACAGGUGAAACUAAUGAGCUGAGGGAAGACGCAGAAAUAAGCAGGGGAGAAAACUAUAUCUUAAACCUGUAAACCAAAGCUACUGAAACAACCCAAACUUAAACACUGUAGAACAAAAACACAGGGGAAUUUAAAAAUAAGUAAACGAAUGGUUUAAGUGGGGAAGGGAACACACACACACUAAAGCCGGGCGUACACUGUGCGACUUUUUCACUUUUUUGAGCCGAUUUUCCAGUCGUGCGAGAAGCCACGACAUCGGGGCGAGUUUUGCGCCGAGCGGUCGUGUAGUGUACAGGGGGUUACGAGAGGCGAUUAACACCACGUGACCAGCUGCCGAUCAGCAGUCGUGAGGUCGCAGGGACUUCUGGUGUGUUUAAUAUUUCGCUCGUCCCUCGUGAGGGUAUCGCACUGUUGAAGCGGCGCUGCGAGCAGCUACGAUCCAAAAAGUAUCAGAACCGCUCAUGGCGCAUGCGCGCGCAAUCCUGCAUCAACGCCGGCCGGUCGUUCGCUAUUUCCCUAAUAACACACGCUGUUCGUUUUUGUUUCUACACGUUUUUUUACUCACAAAGAUUGUCAAGAAAGUGUGUUUGUCGUGUUCAUGUCAAAUUAAACUGAUCACAAAACACAGAUUCACUUUCUUUAUUUCGUUUUCCUCAUCCAACCCCCUUAAAUCCCUGUGUGUCCUCCUGCAGCACUCCCGAAGGACAACAGGCAAGACAAAAAAAGUCUGACGUGUUGAGUAAAAACUGCUAUUUUUAGCACAUUUUUAGGGCCGACGUGUUGCUACCAGACGUACAGUGUGAGCAGUCAGGUCGCAUGCGAGAACUGGGUCGUGCAGUGUGAGCACACGACUCGUGAGAUCUGCUCUGCGAGGAAGUCGUACAGUUUGAGCUGAAGCUGAACGCUGCGAGUGAAAAAGUCGCACAGUGUACGCCCGGCUUAAAGGAGACUAAAGUCUCCUCAGUUCUCGGACUGCUGGAAUCAAUAAACUAAAUGGGAAGAGAAAGCCAAGCGGAGGAGGGGAUAAAACAAUGCCUGAGACACUGCAUAAAUAAACUAAAAAGGCUAAAGACACCUGGAGGGAGAACAGGAGGGGGCUGGGGGCCAAAGGGACACAGAACAUGACAUCUACAGGUUGAUUACAAUCAUAUUCUAUUUUAUCUACAAUGAAUGUUUUACCUUAAAUAUUUAAUAACGCCUUGACUGCUUUACAUUAAUGAAUCAACAAAAGUGUCAGUUUUAAAUCAGAUCUUAAAUACAACAAAUGAGUCUACUUGAUGCUUUUGACAAUGAUUUAUUAUCAGUAUAUUCACAUGUUAAUAUUGUUAUAUUAACAAAUGAAGGUUUAACCGAUUUACUUCACAUAUUAACGAAACAAGCCUGCUCUAAGUCUGAGAAAAGGUGAAGUCCUGAGUACUCUUUGUUAACGCCCAUUAAAAUUUCUGGCUUCUGAUUUUUCCAGAACUUAUAAACAACAAAUCUUUAAAAGAUCAGUCAAUUCCUCUAAAAUUCAGUUCAAGCAAGCUGUUCCAGUUCGGCCAACUGUUCCAGCGGGAUGUGACCCAUACUUUUCCAAGACUAAACAAAUUAUUUGUUUAACACUAUCAGAUGCAGAACUCCAUCUGACCGCCAGCAGUCACCCAGGGGGUAUCUUAUAACCAGAGGUAAAGUAUUCAAAGUGGACCUACGAGCUUUGAAUACCACACAAGUCAAUUCCAUCUGGCAGCUUGGCUGAACCGACCUCCCCUGGAUCGCCAGGAACCACGGGUUCGUAGAUUCUGCCCACUGGCAUUGGAUGACUUGUUAAACCUCAUAACCAGCCACAAACCCGGACAUCACAUUUUUCUUUGACACUUAAUCAGGUUUAAUAACAUCUAAGUUCAUAUUUCACCAUAGUUAAUUCCUUGUCUCAGUAAAUAUUACUUUACCAUCAUUUAUACUAAUUU